rnacentral:tRNA from 1 species
GUUGUUGUGGCCGAGUGUUUAAGGCGAUGGACUAGAAAUCCAUUGGGGUCUCCCUGCGAAGGUUCGAGUCCUGCCAACAAUG